GACAGAGGGUGCAAACGUUGUUCGGAAUUACUGGGCGUAAAGCGUGUGUAGGCGGUCUUGUAAGUCGUGUGUGAAAGCCCUGGGCUCAACCCAGGAAGUGCACUCGAAACUGCGAGGCUAGAGUACUGGAGAGGUUGGUGGAAUUCUCGGUGUAGAGGUGAAAUUCGUAGAUAUCGAGAGGAACACCGGUGGCGAAGGCGGCCAACUGGACAGAUACUGACGCUGAGACACGAAAGCGUGGGGAGCAAACAGG
rnacentral:rRNA from 1 species